AUACAUGCAGUCGAGCGGACAGAUGGGAGCUUGCUCCCUGAUGUUAGCGGCGGACGGGUGAGUAACACGUGGGUAACCUGCCUGUAAGACUGGGAUAACUCCGGGAAACCGGGGCUAAUACCGGAUGCUUGUUUGAACCGCAUGGUUCAAACAUAAAAGGUGGCUUCGGCUACCACUUACAGAUGGACCCGCGGCGCAUUAGCUAGUUGGUGAGGUAAUGGCUCACCAAGGCGACGAUGCGUAGCCGACCUGAGAGGGUGAUCGGCCACACUGGGACUGAGACACGGCCCAGACUCCUACGGGAGGCAGCAGUAGGGAAUCUUCCGCAAUGGACGAAAGUCUGACGGAGCAACGCCGCGUGAGUGAUGAAGGUUUUCGGAUCGUAAAGCUCUGUUGUUAGGGAAGAACAAGUACCGUUCGAAUAGGGCGGUACCUUGACGGUACCUAACCAGAAAGCCACGGCUAACUACGUGCCAGCAGCCGCGGUAAUACGUAGGUGGCAAGCGUUGUCCGGAAUUAUUGGGCGUAAAGGGCUCGCAGGCGGUUUCUUAAGUCUGAUGUGAAAGCCCCCGGCUCAACCGGGGAGGGUCAUUGGAAACUGGGGAACUUGAGUGCAGAAGAGGAGAGUGGAAUUCCACGUGUAGCGGUGAAAUGCGUAGAGAUGUGGAGGAACACCAGUGGCGAAGGCGACUCUCUGGUCUGUAACUGACGCUGAGGAGCGAAAGCGUGGGGAGCGAACAGGAUUAGAUACCCUGGUAGUCCACGCCGUAAACGAUGAGUGCUAAGUGUUAGGGGGUUUCCGCCCCUUAGUGCUGCAGCUAACGCAUUAAGCACUCCGCCUGGGGAGUACGGUCGCAAGACUGAAACUCAAAGGAAUUGACGGGGGCCCGCACAAGCGGUGGAGCAUGUGGUUUAAUUUGAAGCAACGCGAAGAACCUUACCAGGUCUUGACAUCCUCUGACAAUCCUAGAGAUAGGACGUCCCCUUCGGGGGCAGAGUGACAGGUGGUGCAUGGUUGUCGUCAGCUCGUGUCGUGAGAUGUUGGGUUAAGUCCCGCAACGAGCGCAACCCUUGAUUUUAGUUGCCAGCAUUCAGUUGGGCACUCUAAGGUGACUGCCGGUGACAAACCGGAGGAAGGUGGGGAUGACGUCAAAUCAUCAUGCCCCUUAUGACCUGGGCUACACACGUGCUACAAUGGACAGAACAAAGGGCAGCGAAACCGCGAGGUUAAGCCAAUCCCACAAAUCUGUUCUCAGUUCGGAUCGCAGUCUGCAACUCGACUGCGUGAAGCUGGAAUCGCUAGUAAUCGCGGAUCAGCAUGCCGCGGUGAAUACGUUCCCGGGCCUUGUACACACCGCCCGUCACACCACGAGAGUUUGUAACACCCGAAGUCGGUGAGGUAACCUUU
rnacentral:rRNA from 1 species